rnacentral:misc_RNA from 1 species
AAGUCGUAACAAGGUUUCCGUAGGUGAACCUGCGGAAGGAUCAUUACCUAGAGUUUGUGGACUUCGGUCUGCUACCUCUUACCCAUGUCUUUUGAGUGACAAAAAAAACAAGUCAAAACCUUCAACAACGGAUCUCUUGGUUCUG